AUGGAGGUGCACUGGCAGAGCUGUUGCAGGCUUGGAAAAUGUUCAUCUCAUGCACACUGUCUCCCAAGAAACAACCAGAAAGGCCUAGAGGAAAUGAGCAGAAUAAGACAAGGGCAAAUAAUCCUUCAAAAAGCUUUUUGCGAUCCGUUUCUUGCACAAUCUUGCUGCAUUAAAAACCAGACCAGUGCACCCCAGUGUCCCAAAGGCGCUGGCAUGCGGCCUCCCCAGCCACCUUUCUGUCACUACACGAGGAACUCAGCGGGGCUGGGAACCCCACUCUUCUGCAGGCUUUGUUGGGGGCACACUCACCCCUCGCUGCUGUGGAGUGGCAAACCUCAUGCCUCAUCACCUCAUGCUGGAAGUGCCAGAAAAAUGGAUUUUCUUGCUCUUUACUAAGGUAUUGUGGGUGCGUAUGGGCACGUGUGAUUUUUUAAAAACAUCAACCAUAAAAAAAAAUCACUGAAACAGUGUAAUAGGUAUUCUAUUCGAUUUAAAAUGCUACUGGAAAAUUCUUGAUAGCAUGGUGAUUGUAGUAUUAUUUUAUUCAGUCUGAUGAGAUCUGAAAUGCUGCUGCCAGCUCAGAAGCUUUUCAAAAGAUUUAUGUAGGUCUUAAAUUUUUUUGGAUUGCCUCAGACACUGUAUUGAAUACAACUCCUGAGUCAAAACUCAGACAUUACAUAUGGUAACCAUUUUAAUCUGCGGUAUAUAUUAUGAAUAUUAUGAAUUGAUUGUCAUUUGCAGCUUUAAAGGUGACAUGUCUGUUUUCACUCUUUUCCUUUUUCUCUCUGUCUCUCUCUUUUUUUUUUUUUAUGAUGAUAACCUUUUGAUGCUUGUGUCUUAUAAUUCAUAAUCCUUCUUUUGCCUAAGAAGUAGAACAUAUAAAUUCUGCAAUGUUAGGUCUGUGGUCUGGUGGGGCCAAGAGUUUACUCUGGAGUUUAGACUUGAACCUGAUUGUGGUCUAUUCUGGUUCUGGCCCUCACUGGGAAGGCUGUUGCUGUAAAACCUCAAUUUUAAUUUGAAAUUAAAAUUCAUGUCCUUGACGUUUCUGACAGAAAACAUUUCAGCCUACUUGUUGUAUCAACUUCAGCGAAGAAUGUCAUGUCUAUGGAAUAUUAAAGGACUACAUCAAACACUACAGCAAACAGCACUGGGCAUCCUUGCAUGAUGUUCCCAGGGUCAUUGACUGAAAUUAUACCAGGUUGCUCCAUGCUUUAUGUUUUGCUUCAUCAGAAAUGACCAACUUCAUACUGAUGGAUGUCCACUGUGUUUGUGGGGACUGUGUAGCAAAGUAAGCUGUGGUGGGGCUUGGAACAGCUGCUCACCCAGCGGUACCAUUCAGUAUUGCAGAGCCCCAGGGAGCUUACACCUCCAUGUGGCUGUAAUUAUUUUCCUGAAUAAAUCUGUCUGUUAGAUUGUAGCUAUCUUCUGA
rnacentral:lncRNA from 1 species